CCAGGCCGGGGAUGCGGGCGGCCUCGAGGCGAGGGGCGAUGCCCCGGGCACACACCGAGCAGCGCCCCGACGGCACAACGGAUCCCGAGGAAUGGGAUGGGACGGUGCGGGCAGGAUGCUGGCACCGCUGGGCUGCUGGCACGCCCGUGUCUGCUCCGCUCCGCUCCUGCUGCUGCCGCCCUGGAGAGCCAUUUCCUCGUGGCAAAACACCUCGGCAGAGCUAUCAACGCUGGCGUGGUUCAUCCUCUAAUAACUCAAAUGCAUCUCGGAUAGAUAUCAGCCUCACGGACAGUAAUGGCACAUAUUUGCGUUCAUUUCCCAGUUUCCAGUAAAAUAUAAAAGCAGCCCCGGCAUUUCAAGGCAAUUACACAGAAGAGUCAAGAGAUAGAGGCAGACACGGAGGAGCUGGACAACGUCACAUCUCCUAAUGCACUGGGAUAACAUGAUAAGGCUCUCCAUCACACCGUGGUUAGGGAGGCAGGGACCAAGCAGCCAUAAUCAAGUCUGGGGCUGCUCUGAUUAUCCACAGCCCUCAGCUGUGCACUGAAAUGUUUUGAUGCCAUGACUGUGCCCGGUGGCUGCACUGAGGCUGAUGGGUGUCUGCAGGUGUUUGCAUAGGAUGAGAGAUGCAGGCAGGAUGCAGCUCCCACAGCACUGGGCUCCUGUGCGUUCUCCUUCUUCGGGUUCCUUUACUCUAGAAAUACUCAAAGCAUUGUCCAAUUGAAAAUUGGCACCAUAGGCUUUUUGCUGCCUAAACUCAGGUGGGAUGAGGAGCACAUUGUGCACAUGAGCAGCUCCUCUGGCCACAGCAACAAGUGUUGAGUGAGCAGGAGAGAGCCUGGGAGAGCAACGACUUUUGGGGGCCAACCCCUUUGUUGGUGCAGGGAAAACUGUGCUGAUUCAUGGCAACAAAGGGGCAGGGCUGAGCUCCUCACGCUGUUGGAGUCAGCAGAACAGUGUAAGCAGCACAACAAGGACAUGACUUCAUCUUGGCAGACGACGUCUGAAGGGAGCAGCGAGCAGGACGGAGCCAUUUGGUCUCCUGAACUUUCCCCUUUGAUUGAAGAUCCUUCUCUGGGUUUUGGCCAUUACUCCAUCUCAGUGCUCUGAGCGACAGCGCUGAUGCUUCAUCUGUGAUGCAACAUUGAUCAGGGGCCCAGGACAGACAUGGGAGCUGUAGGAAGGCGCAGCAGAGCAGCCAGGAGCCCUUCAUGCAGCUGGCCCUCAAUUUAACAGUGUACAAUGGGGCCUCAGUGCCACGCACUCCCCAUGAGCUCAGACUUUCCUUGCCUGCAAAGCACUGUCACUGAACAGCACUGCCCCAAAUAGUGGCUCCCCCAGCAGCUCUCCAUGCUUUGCCUCCCUCAGCCCUGCAUGCUGGGUGUGUUUUCCCAGCAGCUCUGUGCUAAUUUUAACUGUGCUGAGACUCUGGGCAGGAAGCAGGAAUCCCAUCCCAGGAGCCCCAGAGCAAAGCAGUUUGCUGUGGUCCGAAAACUUAACUCCUGUUUACUGGGGACUGGGGCAUGGCUGGAGCUGCCUGGCAGUGCUGGGGGAAGGGGAAGGUUCAGUCCAUACCCCAAGCUCAGAGCGGAGCUGUCAGACCUCCCUGCUUGUUAAUACCAAGCCUGAAAACAUGUGCAAACUCUUCCUGAUCCUGCUCAGGGCCACCGGAGAGCUGAGCAGCGACAAAGGGGAAGGUUGUGCAGAGCCACAUGGCUGCUUUUAACCCAGUAACAUCCUCUUUCAUUGGGCCUGAGCCAUUCCUUGUGCUUGGGAGGAACCAAGGCAGCAGCAGGCUGUGUUAAUGCUGACAAAGCCUGUGUUCAACAGCAGCUCUGUAUUGCCCAAGCUGAAGUUCAGCGACGCUGUGCCAAGAGGCGACGUUGCCAACCAUGGGAGGGAACCAAUCCGAAGCUACGGGAAAAACAUUUUUGAGGAGAAACAUCACCUCUGAACCCAUAGAAACAAAUCAGUUCUGACACAACUAAACAGAGAGCUAUAAAAGGAGAGUUUGGGAAGAACACCACUAAUUGGGUGGUGAUUCAUAUGGUGCCGGUCAGACUGCGUUUUUGUAAUCUCCAUUCCUGGGGGAUGAUUUUCAAAGCACACUGGAAUGUGGAAGCAGCCUGGCCAGAUGUGGGCUGGAAGAUGAGAGAGGAGCAAACAGUGCUGAGAACACAGGAGCGGCAGCAGCAGAGCUGGGGGCUCCCAUAACAGCAAAAUGAAUGGAAUCAUCCCAAAGCAGGGCACGAGGUGCUUCACCCUCUGCCCUGUGCCGGCUGGGGGCAAUGGGAGCAGGACUGCUUUGCUCAGGUGUCCUGAUGCUGGAGGUGAGGCUGUGCCUGAAGCAUCUACACUGUGUUUUUGCUGGGAAGAGCAGAGCCUAAAAGCCACGGCCAGGCAGCUGCAUGAGAAACUAAUCGCUUUUAAUCUGGUUAGAAAACUUCAGCCCUUGGGGAAAAACAGCACAGCUUUCUGGAACUGGGCGGGGAGACCAUGGGAUGGCAGGUUGAGAAAAAACAAAUUAAAUUUGUAUUAGGGUCUGCAAUCACUUCUCUGAUUUGAGAGGCUGUUUCAGAGAGCAGGAGGGCAAUAACCUGCAAGGAGAUGAAAUCCAUAGCAGAGGUGCAGGUUCUCUGUGCACCGAAAUGGCCCCAUUACCAGCAACAUAGUUCCAGCAAGAUCAGCUCUUAUUGGCCUCCGUUUAUUUGUUUUAUGCUCUUUCAAAAGAUAUGUUUCUUCAGGACACCACCUAAAGUGGCAAUAAAACAUUUUGGGCUGCUGCUCCGUGCUGCACA